rnacentral:lncRNA from 1 species
CAUCAUCAACCUUUUCCUGUCUCUGCUCACUAUUUUCAGAGCUGCUGAUAGUUGAAAUCCUUGUAUUCCUUGGUACAUACUAGUUUUCUGUGGGGUGGUGGGUGGUUUUUGAAAACAAUUUCUUAUCUGGGAAUAAAUAUUUCUGUGGCUUCCUGGUUGCCCCUGUUUCUAGACGUUUGUACUGGAUUAUUACUGUUAAUGCUGUUAAUACAUACUGUAGUUGAUUAAGGAAUUUAUUUUGAAUUGUAAAUACUUGAACAUUGUUCCCUUGAUUCACGUGUUCUUUAGUAUGUUGUGAUUUUUAGUUUAUAUCUGAGAAUAUCUUGACUGGUAGAUGCUUGAAAUGAUUUGUUUGGUUCAGCACUCUCCUAGAGUGUUCAAAUUCGAAGCUAUUGUUAAGAAGGCUUGGGCUUUGAUCCUUUCUUUUGAAAUCGGAGGGACAAACUAAUAUUCCCAUUUUGUUUUUGACUAGAUGGAGUAUAAUAUUUUUUCAUUAAUAUUUCCUUUUUUCAUGUAGUUACUCUAAGCGGG